GUGGGGAAUCUUGCGCAAUGGGCGAAAGCCUGACGCAGCCAUGCCGCGUGAAUGAUGAAGGUCUUAGGAUUGUAAAAUUCUUUCACCGGGGACGAUAAUGACGGUACCCGGAGAAGAAGCACCGGCUAACUUCGUGCCAGCAGCCGCGGUAAUACGAAGGGUGCAAGCGUUAAUCGGAAUUACUGGGCGUAAAGCGCGCGUAGGCGGUUUGGUAAGUGUGAUGUGAAAGCCCCGGGCUCAACCUGGGAAUUGCCUCACAUACUGCUAAGCUAGAGUACGGGAGAGGGGGGUAGAAUUCCACGUGUAGCGGUGAAAUGCGUAGAGAUGUGGAGGAAUACCGGUGGCGAAGGCGGCCCCCUGGAUCGAUACUGACGCUGAGGUGCGAAAGCGUGGGGAGCAAACAGGAUUAGAAACCCGAGUAGUCC
rnacentral:rRNA from 1 species